CGGCCGGGUGGGGCGGCGCUCCCCCUCCGCAAGGAUAGCCGGCGCUUCCCGGGCCCGCCCACUGCCUUCUCCCCUACUUUCCCGAUCCUUUGCUCCUCCUCCCCCUCCUCGGUCCUCCUUCCCCCUCUUCUCUCUUUCCCCUGAGACUGAGUGACACGGACCCCUCCCCAACUCGGCCACAGCACUGGAGGGGAGGAGAAGUUGAGCCAGCUGGGAGGGCUGCCCAGACCCUCCUCCGUCGCACCGGCGACCCUCGGGAAGUUGGGAUCGGCUCCGAUCUUCCCAGCCCUUGGCCUCCUCAAGGGCCCCGUUCGACUCAGGCUUCUCUGGUGCCGAAGCUCUCCCAGGCUUCCCGGCGCCCACGCGCUCUCCCAGGCUUGGGGGGGGGGGGGGGCAGACUUUGCAGCCUGGGGCAACUGGAUUGAAAACAGAAAUAAAACAACCACUCGGAGCGGCUCCCUCCCCCACCUGGCCUUUGCUCAGACCCGGGAAAGUUAUUCCAAGAUGGGCCACCGAACACUAGCCAGGCCCCUCCAAACUGCCAAGUGCUGGGUGGAGACACACAAUGGAGUGCACCAUUGGGAGGCCUGGCCUGGGAGUUCAGAGCCUUUGGCUGUGGGACCUUGGUCAAUGAGUCAAGAAACAUUUCUUGCCACCUACUACACGCCAGGCACUGUGGUGAUAACAAAUACAAACAAAGACAAUCCCAGCCCUCAAGAGGCUUACGAUGUAUGGGAGGCGGACAAAAUUCAAAAGAAAGCUGAAGGGAUGGGAGAAGGACCCAAGAAUCUAAGACUGGCAGAGAACUGAAAGAGGACUUAACCAAUCACCUUGUAGUGUCGAACUCGACCGGAACCAAGGCCCAUUAAACUGCGCCAACGGAUCCCUGGGGGCUGCACGGUGACUUAGAAAAUCACACAGUAACAUUAUCUCUGUUCAAUUGUAUUUUUUUAUUUUGUUAAAUAAUUCCCAAUUACACUGUAACCUGGUUUGUCAGUUCAGUGUUGUGGGCAGCAUCUGUUUAUACCUCUGUCUCAGCAAACGGGCCCAGUGAAUACGUAGAUGGACGAGAGCCUCUUUCCUGGGGGUCCUCCUCAGUUUCCUUUGCUUGCCCAUCAUCCACAGCCAGACUCCUAACUGUAGACGUACCCCAAAUCUCUCCCACGGGCCCUCCUCUCUCAACACGCUUCCACUUGGUAGCACGUCAGCUCCCAUGGGUUGAAGUCUCGCCUAUCUACGGGGUCCUAAUCUCCCUCCGAGGCCCUAUUCCACAUCGCCAGCUGCCUGUGGGAUAUCUCUUGGAUGGCAUGUAGAUGGCAUCUCAAACCCAACCUGGCAAAACUGUUGUUACCACAUCGAUAUUUUCCCAUUCUCUUUCUUUCCUAUGAGUUUCCUUAUUUCUGGUGAUGGCUCCACCCCAACCCUUCCAAGUCACCUCUGUUCUCAGCCUCAGGGUUAUUCUCAAUUCUGCCACCUCUCUAACCCUAAUGUCCAUAUUUCCUGCAUUUGUCCCCUUCUCUCUACUCACAACCCCCAAACUGCUGCUGACCCUAACUUUCUACCCUUCUAUCUCUAUUCUUCCUCACUGAAGCCUCCAGCCCCUCCAUCACUCCCUCCUCUUCCUGCUGUGGCCUCUCUCCUCUCUUCAUGGCCUUGAUCUCCCCUUAAAUCCCCCACCCUCUGGCCCUAGGACACAAGCUUUAUUCCCCUCACCAUCCACUUCCAACUUCCUCUUCUCCACUCUGCACGGCCAGGUCCCAAUCAGUGCAAACAACAAAUCCCGUGAUCACAUUAUUCAAAUUCCACUGCA
ensembl:lncRNA